rnacentral:tRNA from 1 species
GGAGGAGUACCCAAGUGGCUGAAGGGUCCGGCUUCGAACACCAGUAGGUCGGCAGCACCGGCGCGAGGGUUCAAAUCCCUCCUCCUCCG